rnacentral:rRNA from 1 species
UCAACGGAGAGUUUGAUCCUGGCUCAGGAUGAACGCUGGCGGCGUGCUUAACACAUGCAAGUCGAACGAUGAUGCCCACUUGUGGGUGGAUUAGUGGCGAACGGGUGAGUAACACGUGAGUAACCUGCCCUUGACUCCUGU